rnacentral:rRNA from 1 species
AAUGAACGCUGGCGGCAGGCCUAAAACAUGCAAGUCGAACGCUGUAGCAAUACAGAGUGGCGCACGGGUGAGUAACAUGUGGGAAUAUGCCUUUUGGUACGGAACAACGUUUGGAAACGAACGCUAAUGCCGUAUGGUCCCUUCGGGUAAAGAUUUAUCGCCAAAGAUUAGCCCGCACUGGAUUAGCUAGUUGGUAGGGUAAUGGCCUACCAAGGCGACGAUCCAUAGCGGUCUGAGAGGACGAUCAGCCACACUGGGGACUGAGACACGGCCCAGACUCCCUACGGGAGGCAGCAGUUAGGAAUAUUGGACAAUGGGCGCAAGCCUGAUCCAGCCAUGCCG